AUUGAACGCUGGCGGCAGGCCUAACACAUGCAAGUCGAACGAGUGGGGACGGGUGAGUAACACGUGGGUAACCUCCCAUCAGAGGGGAUAACACUUGGAAACAGGUGCUAAACCGAUACUGAUGGAUGGACCCGCGGUGCAUUAGCUAGUUGGUGAGGUAACGGCUCACCAAGGCCACGAUGCAUAGCCGACCUGAGAGGGUGAUCGGCCACACUGGGACUGAGACACGGCCCAGACUCCUACGGGAGGCAGCAGUAGGGAAUCUUCGGCAAUGGACGAAAGUCUGACCGAGCAACGCCGCGUGAGUGAAGAAGGUUUUCGGAUCGUAAAACUCUGUUAAUCGGGACGCGGUACCGGAAUAGAAAGCCACGGCUAACUACGUGCCAGCAGCCGCGGUAAUAC
rnacentral:rRNA from 1 species